rnacentral:rRNA from 1 species
GACGAACGCUGGCGGCAUGCCUAACACACGCAAGUCGAGCGAGUAGAUCCCUUCGGGGUGAAGCUAGCGGCGGACGGGUGAGUAACACGUGGGCAACCUGCCUCAUAGAGGGGAAUAGCCUUCCGAAAGGAAGAUUAAUACCGCAUAAGAUUGUAGUACCGCAUGGUAUAGCAAUUAAAGGAGCAAUCCGCUAUGAGAUGGGCCCGCGGCGCAUUAGCUAGUUGGUGAGGUAACGGCUUACCAAGGCGACGAUGCGUAGCCGACCUGAGAGGGUGAUCGGCAACAUUGGGACUGAGACACGGCCCAGACUCCGACGGGAGGCAGCAGUGGGGAAGAUUGCACAAUGGGGGAAACGCUGAUGCAGCAAUGCCGCGUGAGUGAUGACGGCCUUCGGGUUGUAAAGCUCUGUCUUCGGGGACGAUAAUGACGGUACCCGAGGAGGAAGCCACGGCUAACUACGUGCCAGCAGCCGCAGUAACAC